rnacentral:rRNA from 1 species
AUUGAACGCUGGCGGCAUGCCUUACACAUGCAAGUCGAACGGUAACAGGUCUUCGGAUGCUGACGAGUGGCGAACGGGUGAGUAAUACAUCGGAACGUGCCCGAUCGUGGGGGAUAACGGAGCGAAAGCUUUGCUAAUACCGCAUACGAUCUACGGAUGAAAGCAGGGGACCGCAAGGCCUUGCGCGGACGGAGCGGCCGAUGGCAGAUUAGGUAGUUGGUGGGAUAAAAGCUUACCAAGCCGACGAUCUGUAGCUGGUCUGAGAGGACGACCAGCCACACUGGGACUGAGACACGGCCCAGACUCCUACGGGAGGCAGCAGUGGGGAAUUUUGGACAAUGGGCGAAAGCCUGAUCCAGCCAUGCCGCGUGCAGGAUGAAGGCCUUCGGGUUGUAAACUGCUUUUGUACGGAACGAAAAGACUCUUUCUAAUAAAGAGGGUCCAUGAUGGUACCGUAAGAAUAAGCACCGGCUAACUACGUG